rfam:Candidatus Cloacamonas acidaminovorans str. Evry provisional genome sequence from WWE1 candidate division
UGCCAGGCGCAAUGCAAUAACUGCAAGUGAACUAUGUCAGAUCAGGAAUGAAGCAGCAUUAAGCUUUACCAGUUAUGUGACAUUGUUUGCCUGGCUUUU